rnacentral:sRNA from 1 species
UUUAAAGCUUUGGGUAACGGAGCGCUAUUCUAGUGCACAAAUUGACAUUCGAAGGCGGGCCUAAGAAUCCGCCGAGGGCAUACCGAUGAAGUUCCUGGUGGUGGCUUGCGACGCCCAGUCGAGGGUUGCUGCUGGGAGUUAAGGCCGAGGGGGAUCCGCAACGGCAUGCGGGCGCUACCCUUGUCCGUGGAGGCCUGAGUAUGUGGUCUGCAAAGAUUACGGCUCAGGGUAUGAACCUGCAUUAGGAAGGAACUUAGUGCAGCGUAGCCUGCCUUGAGGUGGAAAAGUUGGGAAGGCGUGUGGGGUGUGAACCGUGUUGGCCGACAUGGUUCAGCCUGCCGGAAAUUCUUUUCUGCAAAAGAGGCUAGUGUGUCAAGGCGUGUUAAGGAAACUUCUAGAGCGUUAAUCGGCGGGGAUUGAAGUGCGUCCUCAGUGGCGAUCAAGUUCUGAGUGGUGGCGACACCUCAGGCUGGGGGAAAAGGGAAACCGCCUGUCGGGAAACCGCGGGAACCCAGUGGGAAAACCUACUUGACCUAAGACGCAAUAUUGACCUGCCGGCAUCCUAAGGCCCAAAGAG